AUCGAACGCUGGCGGCAGGCCUAACACAUGCAAGUCGAACGAGUGGCGGACGGGUGAGCAAUGUCUGGGCAACUGCCCGAUGGAGGGGGAUAACUACUGGAAACGGUAGCUACUACCGCAUACCAUCGGAUGUGCCCAGAUGGGAUUAGCUAGUAGGUGGGGUAACGGCUGACCUAGGCGACGAUCCCUAGCUGGUCUGAGAGGAUGACCAGCCACACUGGAACUGAGACACGGCCCAGACUCCUACGGGAGGCAGCAGUGGGGAAUAUUGGGCAAUGGGCGCAAGCCUGAUGCAGCCAUGCCGCGUGUAUGAAGAAGGCCUUCGGAUUGUAAAGUACUUUCAGCGAGGAGGCGGUACUCGCAGAAGAAGCACCGGCUAACUCCGUGCCAGCAGCCGCGGUAAUAC
rnacentral:rRNA from 1 species